rnacentral:lncRNA from 1 species
UUGGAGAAACUGGUUGUUUUACCAAAGGCUUGACUGGAAUGGCGUGCUUUUCUUUAAGGAAUCAAACUUGACUUAUAGAGCCAAUAAAAACCCCUUAGAAGAAAACUGGCUGCAUACCAUGCCUACACAGUUCCUGAAUAGGGUUCCUGAUCUGUGCUGUGCUUUCUUAAAACUCUGCAAACUGAAGCUAGACAACUUAAACAUCAGAAGAAAAUAACAGCAACCAUAUACAUAUGACAUGAGACUUCCCAGCCUGCUAAAGGUGAACUUUCCUGAUAACUUGGGACCUACCAUCUAGGAAUAAACUGUCCUAGCCAUGAGAGAUCAGAUGAAACCUGAGACCAGAGAUUCAUUUCCUUCUAAUAUGCUUUCUCCCAAAGCUUUUCAAAAGAAAAGGGGGGAAAUGUGAAAGGAAAAAAAAUCUUGGGGCCCCCAAAUCACUAAGCUAAAGGGAAAAGUCAAACUGGGAACCACUUAGGGCAAACCUGCCUCCCAUUCUAUUCAAAGUCAUCCCUCUGCUCACUGAGAUAAAUGCACAUCUGAUUGCCUCCUUUGGAAAGGCUAAUCAGAAACUCAAAAGAAUGCAACCAUUUGUCUCUCACCGACCUGUGACCUGGAAGCCCCCUCCCUGCUUCAAGUUAUCCUGCCUUUCUGGACAGAACCAAUGUGUACCUCUUACAUGUACUGAUUGAUGUCUCAUGUCUCUCUACAAUGUGUAAAACCAA